rnacentral:rRNA from 1 species
CUAGUAUAGCAUUAUACCGUGAAACUGCGAAUGGCUCAUUAAAUCAGUUAUCGUUUAUUUGAUAGUACCUUACUACUUGGAUAACCGUGGUAAUUCUAGAGCUAAUACAUGCUGAAAACCCCAACUUCGGGAGGGGUGUAUUUAUUAGAUAAAAAACCAACGCCCUUCGGGGCUUCUUGGUGAUUCAUGAUAACUUCACGGAUCGCAUGGCCUUGCGCCGGCGACGGUUCAUUCAAAUUUCUGCCCUAUCAACUUUCGAUGGUAAGGUAUUGGCUUACCAUGGUUUCAACGGGUAACGGGGAAUUAGGGUUCGAUUCCGGAGAGGGAGCCUGAGAAACGGCUACCACAUCCAAGGAAGGCAGCAGGCGCGCAAAUUACCCAAUCCCGACACGGGGAGGUAGUGACAAUAAAUACUGAUACAGGGCUCUUUUGGGUCUUGUAAUUGGAAUGAGUACAAUUUAAACCUCUUAACGAGGAACAAUUGGAGGGCAAGUCUGGUGCCAGCAGCCGCGGUAAUUCCAGCUCCAAUAGCGUAUAUUAAAGUUGUUGCAGUUAAAAAGCUCGUAGUUGAAACUUGGGCCUGGCUGGCAGGUCCGCCUCACCGCGUGUACUUGUCCGGCCGGGCCUUUCCUUCUGGAGAACCUCAUGCCCUUCACUGGGUGUGUUGGGGAACCAGGACUUUUACUUUGAAAAAAUUAGAGUGUUCAAAGCAGGCCUUUGCUCGAAUACGUUAGCAUGGAAUAAUAGAAUAGGACGUGCGGUCCUAUUUUGUUGGUUUCUAGGACCGCCGUAAUGAUUAAUAGGGACAGUCGGGGGCAUCAGUAUUCAAUUGUCAGAGGUGAAAUUCUUGGAUUUAUUGAAGACUAACUACUGCGAAAGCAUUUGCCAAGGGAUGUUUUCAUUAAUCAGUGAACGAAAGUUAGGGGAUCGAAGACGAUCAGAUACCGUCGUAG